GAGAGAGGAAUCACUGGGUACCCUCCUCUCUCUCCAUGUGUGAUGGAAGAGUCAACUAAAGACACAUCCUUGGAUGUGGAGUUUGACUGCAACAUAAACCAAAUCAAAAACAAAGAGUUCUUUGAGGAACAAAAGAAGAAACUUAAAGUUGAUCAAGAGCUUUGUGCUACCGAGAACCACCAAAAAGUAGACUUCUGGUUCUGUGAAGAGUGCAAGGAGUACUUCAUAGAGGAAUGCCCAACCCACGGACCCCC